GGGGAAUAUUGGACAAUGGGCGCAAGCCUGAUCCAGCCAUGCCGCGUGGGUGAAGAAGGCCUUCGGGUUGUAAAGCCCUUUUGUUGGGAAAGAAAAGCAGCCGGCCAAUACCCGGUUGUUCUGACGGUACCCAAAGAAUAAGCACCGGCUAACUACGUGCCAGCAGCCGCGGUAAUACGUAGGGUGCGAGCGUUAAUCGGAAUUACUGGGCGUAAAGCGUGCGCAGGCGGCUUUGCAAGACAGAGGUGAAAUCCCCGGGCUCAACCUGGGAACUGCCUUUGUGACUGCAAGGCUAGAGUACGGCAGAGGGGGAUGGAAUUCCGCGUGUAGCAGUGAAAUGCGUAGAUAUGCGGAGGAACACCAAUGGCGAAGGCAAUCCCCUGGGCCUGUACUGACGCUCAUGCACGAAAGCGUGGGGAGCAAACA
rnacentral:rRNA from 1 species